UUUGUUGUACUACCCCAAACACGCUUCGCACUAUCAUCUCUCUCUCUCUCCCCUAAACUUUCUCUUGCUCGUCUCUCACCCCGUGGCUCAAGAGGUAAGGUGUCUUUUACCUCUUUGGUUGGGGUUUCCUGAUAACAAAGAUGGCAUCACCGGCGCAGACGUUUUGUUCUUCCCAUAUUCUCUUCUACAUCUAAACUAUCUUGCGGAGAGGGAUUAUUGUUUGUGCAGCUCCAUUACUCCUUCGACUCCUCCUACUUUAACUCCCUCCGCGAAUACAUCAAUCUUGGCUCAUAUUUGCGGCCUGACCACUAGACCACCAACCUCUGCUUAAUGCUCCAAAAGAAGAUAGGCAAAACCAUUGGAAGAAGGCGCCUACUAGGUGUUUGACUGAAAGCCCAACAUUGGAUGAACAUAGGAGGCUGCAAGGGCAUCUGAGUGGAUAGGCUCAAAAGAUUGGAAGAAAACAUGGAGAUAGGACCAAAUCGAAUCUCUAAGGAUACAAAUCUAGGUAACGGAAAUUUUUUAUGAUUUAGACUUAAAUUCUCACUGCAAUAAUGUCAAUGGAUUUACUAUUGUCCUUUAUUUUUUGUAAUACAUAUAUUGGUUUUGUUGCCAUCAUUUCCUAUUUUUGUUCCAUUUGCUUUGGUCGAGAUGAAUAUGGUGCUAAACGACAACAAUUAAUUUUGUUAAUGUGUUUUAGAGAAUAACGUUUGUAAUGGUCUUAUUUGGAUCUUAAGUAUUUUUUAAAAAUUAGAUUUAUUCUUCCUUUAGUUCCUCCAAUAAAACAGAGGGUACGUCAUUUUUAGUC